AUAAGGGGUCAUGUGGUCUGUUGAGUCCUGACUGACCUUGUUCCAGAGUGAUGGAUGCAUCAGGGUGAGAAGAGAGAUGGAUGACGGGAUUACCCAUCAUGCCUAGUGCCUACAGUACAAGCCCGUGGGUGCAGUGUUAUGGUCUGGGGCUGGUUUAGUUGGGCAGGUCUAGGUUCAACAGUGUUAUGACCAUAAAAUGACAGAAA